AUGAGAUCUACAUCCCUUGCCCAUGCCUUUGAAACAGCCAAAUUUCAAGAACAAUUACUUAAUUGUAACAAAAAAACCUAAUUCCUUUUCCAGAACCUACCAAAAAGGUGCAAGAACCAAUUCCUUUAUUCAAUCAUCAUCUCUUUCUUACAAAUCUGCACCAACCUACCAAAAUUACCCUUAUGCACCCAAACUGCCCAACUCUAAUCAAAAUAAUGACCCAAAACAGCCCAUUUCCACUCAGAAACCAGUCUCUACAACCAAACAAGCUUUUGUUAACUAGCCUGCAACCAAACCAAACACUAAUAUUGCAUCCAAUUCCAAUAAUAUCAGGCAACCAAGACCUUGUUUUAGGUGUGGAGAAAAGUAUUUCUCUGGUCAUAUAAAACAACAGAAAUCUGUGAUGGAUAUUCAAUCUUGUGAAAAUGAUGAAAUUGCAUUUCAAAUGCAAGGGCAGGAAGUGGAUGAUGGAGAAGAAGUGUGGCAUGAU
rnacentral:misc_RNA from 1 species